rnacentral:rRNA from 1 species
UACGUAGGUGGCAAGCGUUGUCCGGAAUUAUUGGGCGUAAAGCGCGCGCAGGCGGUCCUUUAAGUCUGAUGUGAAAGCCCACGGCUCAACCGUGGAGGGUCAUUGGAAACUGGGGGACUUGAGUACAGAAGAGAAGAGUGGAAUUCCCGGUGUAGAGGUGAAAUUCGUAGAUAUCGGGAGGAACACCGGUGGCGAAGGCGGCGACCUGGGUCGAGACUGACGCUGAGGCGCGAAAGCGUGGGGAGCAAACAGG